AAAGACUUAGUCCUAACCUUGCAAUUAAUUAUCGUCUGACACAUACAUGCAAGUAUCCGCGCCCCAGUGCAACAAGCCCUUAGCCCUUACCAAGACAAAAGGAGCAGGUAUCAGGCUCGCCCCCGCAGCCCAAGACACCAAGCUCAGCCACACCCCCACGGGCACGCAGCAGUAGCCAACAUUAAGCCAUAGGCGCAAGCCUGACUUAGCCAAGACAAAUCCCAGGGCUGGUAAAUCUUGUGCCAGCCACCGCGGUUACACAAGAGGCCCAAAUUAACUGCCCCCGGCGUAAAGAGUGGCCCCAAACUAUCGCACACAACUAAGGCCAAACCAAAACCCAAGCCGUCACAAGCCCAAGGUCUCCCGAAGCCCAAUCCAAAGCUAGCCUUAGCCCCAACGACCCACCCCACCCCACUAAAGCUAGGACACAAACUGGGAUUAGAUACCCCACUAUGCCUAGCCCUAAAUUACGAUGCCAACUCUACCCAAGCAUCCGCCCGAGAACUACGAGCACAAACGCUUAAAACUCUAAGGACUUGGCGGUGCCCUAAACCCACCUAGAGGAGCCUGUUCUAUAAUCGAUAAUCCACGAUACACCCAACCACUUCUCGCCAAGACAGCCUACAUACCGCCGUCGUCAGCCCACCUCCAUGAGAGCACAACAGUGGGCUCAAAAGCACACCAACCGCUAACAAGACAGGUCAAGGUAUAGCCAACGAAGUGGAAGCAAUGGGCUACAUUUUCUAAAAUAGAACAACCCCACGAAGCGGGGUAUGAAACCCUACCCCACGAAGGCGGAUUUAGAAGUAAAGAAGGAUAAUCAAGCCUUCUUUAAACCGGUCCUAGGGCACGUACACACCGCCCGUCACCCUCCUCACAAGCUCUAACCACACUAAUUAAAACACCACAAACCGCCAAAGAUGAGGUAAGUCGUAACAAGGUAAGUGUACCGGAAGGUGCACUUAGCACACU
rnacentral:rRNA from 1 species